UGUCCAGGGGCGGGAAUCGAACCCACAACCUUCCGCUUACCGGGCAGAUGCCAUGUCCACUGCCAUUUUUC
rnacentral:tRNA from 1 species